rnacentral:rRNA from 1 species
CCUACGGGAGGCAGCAGUGAGGAAUAUUGGUCAAUGGACGAGAGUCUGAACCAGCCAAGUAGCGUGAAGGAUGACUGCCCUAUGGGUUGUAAACUUCUUUUAUAUGGGAAUAAACUGUUCCACGUGUGGGCUUUUGUAUGUACCAUAUGAAUAAGGAUCGGCUAACUCCGUGCCAGCAGCCGCGGUAAUACGGAGGAUCCGAGCGUUAUCCGGAUUUAUUGGGUUUAAAGGGAGCGUAGGUGGAUUGUUAAGUCAGUUGUGAAAGUUUGCGGCUCAACCGUAAAAUUGCAGUUGAAACUGGCAGUCUUGAGUACAGUAGAGGUGGGCGGAAUUCGUGGUGUAGCGGUGAAAUGCUUAGAUAUCGCGAAGAACUCCGAUUGCGAAGGCAGCUCACUGGACUGCAACUGACACUGAGGCUCGAAAGUGUGGGUAUCAAACAGGAUUAGAUACCCUUGUAGUC